rnacentral:rRNA from 1 species
GGGUUGUGAGGUUAAGCGACUAAGCGUACACGGUGGAUGCCCUGGCAGUCAGAGGCGAUGAAGGACGUGCUAAUCUGCGAAAAGCGCCGGCGAGGUGAUAUGAACCCUUGACCCGGCGAUGUCCGAAUGGGGAAACCCAGUGUGAUUCGUCACACUAUCGUUAACUGAAUACAUAGGUUAACGAGGCGAACCGGGGGAACUGAAACAUCUAAGUACCCCGAGGAAAAGAAAUCAACCGAGAUUCCCCCAGUAGCGGCGAGCGAACGGGGAGCAGCCCAGAGUCUGAAUCAGCUUGUGUGUUAGUGGAAGCGUCUGGAAAGUCGCACGGUACAGGGUGAAAGUCCCGUACACGAAAGCACACAGGCUGUGAACUCGAAGAGUAGGGCGGGACACGUGGUAUCCUGUCUGAAUAUGGGGGGACCAUCCUCCAAGGCUAAAUACUCCUGACUGACCGAUAGUGAACCAGUACCGUGAGGGAAAGGCGAAAAGAACCCCGGCGAGGGGAGUGAAAAAGAACCUGAAACCGUGUACGUACAAGCAGUGGGAGCACCUUCGGGUGUGACUGCGUACCUUUUGUAUAAUGGGUCAGCGACUUAUAUUCUGUAGCAAGGUUAACCGUAUAGGGGAGCCGAAGGGAAACCGAGUCUUAACUGGGCGUUAAGUUGCAGGGUAUAGACCCGAAACCCGGUGAUCUAGCCAUGGGCAGGUUGAAGGUUGGGUAACACUAACUGGAGGACCGAACCGACUAAUGUUGAAAAAUUAGCGGAUGACCUGUGGCUGGGGGUGAAAGGCCAAUCAAACCGGGAGAUAGCUGGUUCUCCCCGAAAGCUAUUUAGGUAGCGCCUCGUGAACUCAUCUUCGGGGGUAGAGCACUGUUUCGGCUAGGGGGCCAUCCCGGCUUACCAACCCGAUGCAAACUACGAAUACCGAAGAAUGUUAUCACGGGAGACACACGGCGGGUGCUAACGUCCGUCGUGAAGAGGGAAACAACCCAGACCGCCAGCUAAGGUCCCAAAGUCAUGGUUAAGUGGGAAACGAUGUGGGAAGGCCCAGACAGCCAGGAUGUUGGCUUAGAAGCAGCCAUCAUUUAAAGAAAGCGUAAUAGCUCACUGGUCGAGUCGGCCUGCGCGGAAGAUGUAACGGGGCUAAACCAUGCACCGAAGCUGCGGCAGCGACACUAUGUGUUGUUGGGUAGGGGAGCGUUCUGUAAGCCGUUGAAGGUGGCCUGUGAGGGCUGCUGGAGGUAUCAGAAGUGCGAAUGCUGACAUAAGUAACGAUAAAGCGGGUGAAAAGCCCGCUCGCCGGAAGACCAAGGGUUCCUGUCCAACGUUAAUCGGGGCAGGGUGAGUCGACCCCUAAGGCGAGGCCGAAAGGCGUAGUCGAUGGGAAACAGGUUAAUAUUCCUGUACUUGGUGUUACUGCGAAGGGGGGACGGAGAAGGCUAUGUUAGCCGGGCGACGGUUGUCCCGGUUUAAGCAUGUAGGCGGAGGUUCCAGGUAAAUCCGGUACCUUUUAACGCUGAGGUGUGAUGACGAGGCACUACGGUGCUGAAGUAACAAAUGCCCUGCUUCCAGGAAAAGCCUCUAAGCAUCAGGUAACAUCAAAUCGUACCCCAAACCGACACAGGUGGUCAGGUAGAGAAUACCAAGGCGCUUGAGAGAACUCGGGUGAAGGAACUAGGCAAAAUGGUGCCGUAACUUCGGGAGAAGGCACGCUGAUAUGUAGGUGAAGCCCCUGCGGGUGGAGCUGAAAUCAGUCGAAGAUACCAGCUGGCUGCAACUGUUUAUUAAAAACACAGCACUGUGCAAACACGAAAGUGGACGUAUACGGUGUGACGCCUGCCCGGUGCCGGAAGGUUAAUUGAUGGGGUUAGCGGUAACGCGAAGCUCUUGAUCGAAGCCCCGGUAAACGGCGGCCGUAACUAUAACGGUCCUAAGGUAGCGAAAUUCCUUGUCGGGUAAGUUCCGACCUGCACGAAUGGCGUAAUGAUGGCCAGGCUGUCUCCACCCGAGACUCAGUGAAAUUGAACUCGCUGUGAAGAUGCAGUGUACCCGCGGCAAGACGGAAAGACCCCGUGAACCUUUACUAUAGCUUGACACUGAACACUGGUCCUUGAUGUGUAGGAUAGGUGGGAGGCUUUGAAGCGUGGACGCCAGUCUGCGUGGAGCCGUCCUUGAAAUACCACCCUUUAAUGGCUGGUGUUCUAACGUAGACCCGUAAUCCGGGUUGCGGACAGUGUCUGGUGGGUAGUUUGACUGGGGCGGUCUCCUCCCAAAGAGUAACGGAGGAGCACGAAGGUUAGCUAAUCCUGGUCGGACAUCAGGAGGUUAGUGCAAUGGCAUAAGCUAGCUUGACUGCGAGAGUGACGGCUCGAGCAGGUGCGAAAGCAGGUCAUAGUGAUCCGGUGGUUCUGAAUGGAAGGGCCAUCGCUCAACGGAUAAAAGGUACUCCGGGGAUAACAGGCUGAUACCGCCCAAGAGUUCAUAUCGACGGCGGUGUUUGGCACCUCGAUGUCGGCUCAUCACAUCCUGGGGCUGAAGUAGGUCCCAAGGGUAUGGCUGUUCGCCAUUUAAAGUGGUACGCGAGCUGGGUUUAGAACGUCGUGAGACAGUUCGGUCCCUAUCUGCCGUGGGCGCUGGAGAAUUGAGGGGGGCUGCUCCUAGUACGAGAGGACCGGAGUGGACGCAUCACUGGUGUUCGGGUUGUCAUGCCAAUGGCACUGCCCGGUAGCUAAAUGCGGAAGAGAUAAGUGCUGAAAGCAUCUAAGCACGAAACUUGCCCCGAGAUGAGUUCUCCCUGACUCCUUGAGAGUCCUGAAGGAACGUUGAAGACGACGACGUUGAUAGGUCGGGUGUGUAAGCGCAGCGAUGCGUUGAGCUAACCGAUACUAAUGAACCGUGAGGCUUAACCUUACAACGCCGAAG